UGGGGAAUAUUGCACAAUGGGGGAAACCCUGAUGCAGCAACGCCGCGUGAGUGAUGACGGUCUUCGGAUUGUAAAGCUCUGUCUUUGGGGACGAUAAUGACGGUACCCAAGGAGGAAGCCACGGCUAACUACGUGCCAGCAGCCGCGGUAAUACGUAGGUGGCGAGCGUUAUCCGGAAUUAUUGGGCGUAAAGGGAGCGUAGGCGGAUAAUUAAGUGGGAUGUGAAAUACUCAGGCUCAACCUGGGGGCUGCAUUCCAAACUGAUUAUCUAGAGUGCAGGAGAGGAGAGUGGAAUUCCUAGUGUAGCGGUGAAAUGCGUAGAGAUUAGGAAGAACACCAGUGGCGAAGGCGACUCUCUGGACUGUAACUGACGCUGAGGCUCGAAAGCGUGGGGAGC
rnacentral:rRNA from 1 species